rnacentral:rRNA from 1 species
GCGGAGGAAAAGAAACUAACUAGGAUUCCCUUAGUAACGGCGAGUGAACCGGGAUGAGCUCAAAUUUAAAAUCUGGCGUCUUUCAGGCGUCCGAGUUGUAAUCUAUAGAGGCGUUUUCCGCGCCGGACCGCGUCCAAGUCUCUUGGAAUAGAGUAUCAAAGAGGGUGACAAUCCCGUACUUGACGCGACAACCGGUGCUCUGUGAUACGUUCUCAAUGAGUCGAGUUGUUUGGGAAUGCAGCUCUAAAUGGGUGGUAAAUUCCAUCUAAGGCUAAAUAUUGGCGAGAGACCGAUAGCGAACAAGUACCGUGAGGGAAAGAUGAAAAGCACUUUGGAAAGAGAGUUAAACAGCACGUGAAAUUGUUAAAAGGGAAACGAUUGAAGUCAGUCGUGUGAAAGGUAUUCAGCCGUCUCUGGCGGUGUAUUUGCCUUUCACGGGUCAACAUCAGUUUGAUCCGGUAGAAAAAGGCAAGAGGAAGGUGGCACCCUCGGGUGUGUUAUAGCCUCUUGUCAUAUGUGCCGGACCAGACUGAGGAACGCAGCUUGCCGCAAGGCCGGGGUUCGCCCACGUACAAGCUUAGGA